UCGGCAUAAAAUUUCGUUACCCUAAAAAGUUUGGCUAUUGUUUUCUUUUUUUUUUUUCGUUUUAAAGAAUGAGCAACUAAAAUAUAAAUGUAGCUGAAGCUAAGUUAUACAUAGGACCAUUUCAUCAAAACACAUAUAAAACACUAGUAUGGAUUUCAUUGAUGCCACAUGAUGUUGUACUAUAUAAUGUAAAGACGCGCAGGUGGUACCACAAUUCAAAUUGUUGCCGUUAGCACCUGCAAUGCCGUUAAUAAUUGUGUUCUUGAUUCAAGUUACAUUCGAUGAAUUAAAAUUAUGCGAAUACACUCAUGGAUGUUUAUUAUGCCACCAAAUAUGGGAACUGGCAGGUGGUACCACCAGCAUUGGAUGCAGUUAGCGCCUGUCUCCCAGUUGUUAAAAAUAAUUGUAUACCAGAACAAUAUAUUUUGCAAUGUACGGUACCACGCCCAUUCAAGGCGCUGCGUUUGCGUUAAACAAGGCAAGCCAUGAUCCCACGA